rnacentral:rRNA from 1 species
GUGGGGAAUUUUGGACAAUGGGGGCAACCCUGAUCCAGCCAUGCCGCGUGCGGGAAGAAGGCCUUCGGGUUGUAAACCGCUUUUGUCAGGGAAGAAAUCCUUUGGGUUAAUACCUCGGAGGGAUGACGGUACCUGAAGAAUAAGCACCGGCUAACUACGUGCCAGCAGCCGCGGUAAUACGUAGGGUGCAAGCGUUAAUCGGAAUUACUGGGCGUAAAGCGUGCGCAGGCGGUUUUGUAAGACAGACGUGAAAUCCCCGGGCUCAACCUGGGAAUGGCGUUUGGGACUGCAAAGCUGGAGUGCGGCAGAGGGGGAUGGAAUUCCGCGUGUAGCAGUGAAAUGCGUAGAUAUGCGGAGGAACACCGAUGGCGAAGGCAAUCCCCUGGGCCUGCACUGACGCUCAUGCACGAAAGCGUGGGGAGCAAACAGGAUUAGAUACCCUAGUAGUCC